CCAGACUCCUACGGGAGGCAGCAGUGAGGAAUAUUGGUCAAUGGGCGGGAGCCUGAACCAGCCAAGCCGCGUGAGGGAAGAAGGUACAGCGUAUCGUAAACCUCUUUUGUCAGGGAACAAAGGCGGGGACUAGUCCCCGGAUGAGGGUACCUGAAGAAAAAGCAUCGGCUAACUCCGUGCCAGCAGCCGCGGUAAUACGGAGGAUGCGAGCGUUAUCCGGAUUUAUUGGGUUUAAAGGGUGCGCAGGCGGCGUGUUAAGUCAGCGGAAAAAGCCGGGGGCUAACCCCCGGCGAGCCGUUGAAACUGGCGGGCUGGAGUUGGAGAGAAGUACGCGGAAUGCGCGGUGUAGCGGUGAAAUGCUUAGAUAUCACGCAGAACUCCGAUUGCGAAGGCAGCGUACCGGCGCCCAACUGACGCUGAAGCACGAAGGCGUGGGUAUCGAACAGGAUUAGAUACCCUUGUA
rnacentral:rRNA from 1 species